CACGUAGGGGGCAAGCGUUGUCCGGAAUCAUUGGGCGUAAAGCGCGCGUAGGCGGCCCGGUAAGUCCGCUGUAAAAGUCCAGGGCUCAACCCUGGAAAGCCGGUGGAUACUGUCGGGCUCGAGUCCGGAAGAGGCGAGUGGAAUUCCUGGUGUAGCGGUGGAAUGCGCAGAUAUCAGGAGGAACACCGAUGGCGAAGGCAGCUCGCUGGGACGUUACUGACGCUGAGACGCGAAAGCGUGGGGAGCAAACAGG
rnacentral:rRNA from 1 species